UUUAGGUCUACUUAAAUGCUAUGCAAUGUUUUGCCAAAUUGCUUUGUUUCGCUUGUAGACUAAACGAAGAAGGAAUGAACUUUAGUUUUAUUAUCCUAGCAAUAAUAUGAAGCGUUUAUUCAAUUAUUGCUCGAGAAACGUAAAACUACAUUU
rfam:Glossina palpalis gambiensis isolate 146720 unplaced genomic scaffold Scaffold327, whole genome shotgun sequence.